GACUCUGUUUUGUUUUGAUUGCUUGAAGCAAUGUGAAAAACACAUUUCACCAGUUUUGGGGGGAAAAAGAGUC